GAUGAACGCUGGCGGCGUGCCUAACACAUGCAAGUCGAGCGAUUCUCUUCGGAGAAGAGCGGCGGACGGGUGAGUAACGCGUGGGUAACCUGCCCUGUACACACGGAUAACAUACCGAAAGGUAUGCUAAUACGGGAUAACAUAAGAAAUUCGCAUGUUUUUCUUAUCAAAGCUCCGGCGGUACAGGAUGGACCCGCGUCUGAUUAGCUAGUUGGUGAGGUAACGGCUCACCAAGGCGACGAUCAGUAGCCGACCUGAGAGGGUGAUCGGCCACAUUGGAACUGAGACACGGUCCAAACUCCUACGGGAGGCUG
rnacentral:rRNA from 1 species